rfam:Chelonia mydas contig145161, whole genome shotgun sequence.
AGGAUGUGACAGUUUGGCAGUGCAUUGCUAGCUGGCUGUUGAGAACUUGAUAUAUGAACAGUUGCUAGCUGCACUCCACAUUGUUGCAUUCA